GAAGCAGACAAAAUCUGCCUUAUGGAUCAAAAUCUGUUGAAGAAGUUUAAGUUAUUCAGAACUGAAGUGAACAACAUGGAGAUUCCUCUGCUUGUGUUGGUCACUAAGAUAGAGCGAAGCCUG